ensembl:lncRNA
AAGCUCUUCUGUCUCUUCUUCUCCGUGUCCCAGCAUACGGAAGAGUCCCUGGUGCAUAGUGGGCCCUCAGUAAAUAUUUUUUGAAUUAUUUCAUCCCAUGACUUGCUUGAGCUGUUGAGAAAAGGAGGACAUCUCUCCCGCUGUCCCAGGAACCCAGAGGAUUCAGGGGCUGGAGCUACCGUCUCGCCACCACGUGGAGAGCCUGAGACAGCCAACAGCGUGCAAGCUACAGAGAAAGGAGAGACGUUUGAUUACAUCGUGCCAGCCCUGAAUCUGGCCAUGCCUGAAGCUGGGGCUGCCCUUGGUCUUCUCAGUUGCAGGACCCAAGGGAAGACCAUAACAAGGCUUCUAUUCAAAGUGGGGACUGGAUUAGCAGCAUCUAUAUGACCUGGGAGCUUGCUAAAGAUGCAGAAUCUCGGGCCUCACCCCAGACCUGCUGAAUCAGAAGCCGCAUUUUAACAAAAUCCCCAUGUAAUUCAAACACACACUAAAGUUUGAGAAGCUCUGCUGUAAGAACUUCUAAGUGAGAGCGGAGGGCGGUAAUACCAUUCUGAAUAGCUGUCCCUCUUUGUAAAGAAAAAUCGCACCAUUGCUGAAACCAGUAGGAAUGUCAGAUAAGGAAAGUCACUGAAUAGUUCUUUCUACAAACAAUCACCAGGGCCUGUCAUGUGCCUGACACUAUUCUCCGUGCUGGGGAUACAGUAAUGAAAAAAAAAUGAUGAAAAAUCCCUGCCCUUCAGGAUCAAAUAGAGUCUACAACAUGUCAGCUGGUGGUGAAGUAUUACGAAGAAACGUAAAAUGAGACAAGGAGGGGGGACAUUUUGCAAUUUUAAGUAGUAUGCUCAGGAGGUGAUAUUUGUGCAAAGCCCUGAAGGAAAUGAAGAGACGAGCUUUGUGGAUAUAUACCGGAACAGCAUGGCAGGGAAAGGAAACAGCAGACACAAAGCCCUGAGGAGGAAAAAUUACAGCUAACGUACAUACCGAUGAGAAGAAUCCAUUGAUGACUGCUGGGAAAGAGGGGAGAAUUUCUAAAGAUCUACCUUGCAAGAACCCAGUGGCCAUGUGUGGCUAGCGGCUACUCUAUUGGACAGCACGGAUAAAGAGUAUUUCCAUCAACACAGAAAGUCCCGUUGGGCAGCACUGGCGUAGGGUAUGACCACGGGAGUUCGUGGCUCAGGUAAGAUGAUGGACAAGGUCAUUGGAGGGCAUUGGGAUAUCUACACAGGUAGUGAAAUCACCAAGAAUUGGGACAGGAGUAGUUUUGGAGAGAGUGACAGUGAGCCAGGAGCUAAAACCUGCAAGAUUUUGGGGAGGACGGGGUCAGCACUCCAAGUGUUACUGGGAGGAUAUAAAGUUUGGAAUUUUUAGUGAGGAGAUGGCAAAAUCACCUAGAAGGGCCACAAGGGACAAACAGGAGACCUACUCCACAUCUAGGGCUAUGUGUCUAGUGGACUGUGGGAAAGGGCUACAGGGAAGACCAUGUCCUCAGGUGGGAUCCAGUUUCUGUAGGAGGAAGAAGAUGAAGAGAACAUUCAAAGAAGACAGGUGAAGAUACAGGAGAUUGUGCUGAUGGCUGACCACAGGUCCCAGAGUGACAGCAAAAGGGUUUCAGGAGCCAGGGAGCACUAAGUGAUGGGCUCAUGGAAGGGGACAUGCAAAGCUGUGUAGGGACAAAGGUCCAAGACAUGAGGGAUGUCCUGUGAACCUAGGCUCUGUAGGGACUGGUGUCAACAGUGAUAAAGACACAGCGAGACUGAUCCUGAGGGCCCCCAAGCAGGAACCAGGUGAGCUGUGAGUGUUGAGGGUGAAACAGGGCUCUUUCGAGGAGCACAAAGAAUUCUGGAACAUCCUCUUCACUUCCUCUUAAGGGUCAAAGGGACCCUGAGCUUGAGCACCUCUUCGCUGCAGCCAGUGGAGGGGGAAGGCCUGAAGGGGUGGCCUUCCCCAGAGGGCACUGAGCUCCCUCUUGACUCCUUAAAUCCACAACUAGAAAUGCCUUCAAGUUGGAAUUUCCCUGGAGAAGGCAGCUACUGGAAGGAGGAGCCAAGCUCCAGGGCUCCCACACUGGAAACCUAUCUGAGUCCAAAGGCCGACUCUGUCACUUACGACUCUGCCUCCUGGGGCAAGUCUUUUCACUUCUCUGAGUCUCCACCUCCUCAUCUUCAGGCUUUACUUGUACUAUUGCCUCUGACUAGAUAUCUCCGCUCCGUUUUCCAAGCCAGGGGCAUGGUCAUG